rnacentral:rRNA from 1 species
UACGAAGGGGGCUAGCGUUGCUCGGAAUCACUGGGCGUAAAGGGUGCGUAGGCGGGUCUUUAAGUCAGGGGUGAAAUCCUGGAGCUCAACUCCAGAACUGCCUUUGAUACUGAAGAUCUUGAGUUCGGGAAAGGUGAGUGGAACUGCGAGUGUAGAGGUGAAAUUCGUAGAUAUUCGCAAGAACACCAGUGGCGAAGGCGGCUCACUGGCCCGAUACUGACGCUGAUGCACGAAAGCGUGGGGAGCAAACAGG